AGCCUAAACCUCGGUAAAACCCUAGUUUCAAUCUCUGGAGGCUCUCUCUGAAAGCUCUAUUCCUCGGGAAUUUGGUGCUAUUGUUCAAAUGGCCUCUCGUUGUAGAUCUCUGUCGCAACCAGCAGUCUCGCUUAUUAGAUCUACCAUUUCUAAAUCAUCAAACAAGCCCAAGCCCUCAACUUUCCUCCACCACACUCGCUCGCCUCCUACAUUUCCGAGGGCGGUUCCUCAUCUCGGUUGCGCGCAGUCCUUGCUUCCCUUCCACUCUGCAAUCUCCUCAGCUCGCCUCACCUCUUGCCUUGGUAUAGAUUCAAGGAACUCCAGGUCGUUGUCUCAGGGUAUGCUCUGCAGUGCCAACCCCGGAGUUUGAUAUCUCGAAUGUUUUUUAUUUGGUAUCUUAGGUGCGCAGUCCCAAUACUUUGUAAAGCCCUGCGGUAUUGUGCCUUUUGUGUUGUGCCAAUGUCAUUUUUGUGAACCACUCAUUGAUUCUUUGCUCUCCACCACCCCCCCUUUUUGGUUGCAUAUAUGCACACUGCACACCCAGAGCAGCUCCUGCAAACCUUGUCAAUCUAACAAGAAAUGGGCCUCAGCACACCUCGAUAAGCGAUUUAGAAGACCAACGAUUGAUGAAUUAUAGUCAUCGGUUCCGCUGCUGGGAUGCCUUUUGCGGUGAACUGUUUAAUUUUUUAAAAUGAUUUUCAGCAUGACGGGUACAAAGUUGGAAGAAUCCUUCCAUAUUCCUGUAACUAAGGCCGCGGAUCCCUAAAAAUUCUGGUUCAAUCCAGGUUCAAUUGUUUAAAGAUUGACUUCAGCUUUGGUACUUGAUUAUUAACAAAUAAAGAACACGUUCAUGCA